AGAGUUUGAUCCUGGCUCAGGACGAACGCUGGCGGCGCGCCUAACACAUGCAAGUCGAACGAGAGAUGAGGAGCUUGCUCUUCAGAUCGAGUGGCGAACGGGUGAGUAACGCGUGAGGAACCUGCCUCAAAGAGGGGGACAACAGUUGGAAACGACUGCUAAUACCGCAUAAGCCCACGGCUCGGCAUCGAGCAGAGGGAAAAGGAGUGAUCCGCUUUGAGAUGGCCUCGCGUCCGAUUAGCUAGUUGGUGAGGUAACGGCCCACCAAGGCGACGAUCGGUAGCCGGACUGAGAGGUUGAACGGCCACAUUGGGACUGAGACACGGCCCAGACUCCUACGGGAGGCAGCAGUGGGGAAUAUUGCACAAUGGGGGAAACCCUGAUGCAGCGACGCCGCGUGGAGGAAGAAGGUCUUCGGAUUGUAAACUCCUGUUGUUGAGGAAGAUAAUGACGGUACUCAACAAGGAAGUGACGGCUAACUACGUGCCAGCAGCCGCGGUAAAACGUAGGUCACAAGCGUUGUCCGGAAUUACUGGGUGUAAAGGGAGCGCAGGCGGGAGAACAAGUUGGAAGUGAAAUCCAUGGGCUCAACCCAUGAACUGCUUUCAAAACUGUUUUUCUUGAGUAGUGCAGAGGUAGGCGGAAUUCCCGGUGUAGCGGUGGAAUGCGUAGAUAUCGGGAGGAACACCAGUGGCGAAGGCGGCCUACUGGGCACCAACUGACGCUGAGGCUCGAAAGUGUGGGUAGCAAACAGGAUUAGAUACCCUGGUAGUCCACACCGUAAACGAUGAUUACUAGGUGUUGGAGGAUUGACCCCUUCAGUGCCGCAGUUAACACAAUAAGUAAUCCACCUGGGGAGUACGACCGCAAGGUUGAAACUCAAAGGAAUUGACGGGGGCCCGCACAAGCGGUGGAGUAUGUGGUUUAAUUCGACGCAACGCGAAGAACCUUACCAAGUCUUGACAU
rnacentral:rRNA from 1 species